GACGAACGCUGGCGGCGUGCUUAACACAUGCAAGUCGUACGGUAAGGCCCUUUCCGGGGUACACGAGCGGCGAACGGGUGCGUAACACGUGCGUAACCUGCCCACAACUUUGGGAUAACGCUAGGAAACUGGUGCUAAUACUGGUUAUGUGCUCCUGCUGCAUGGUGGGGGUUGGAAAGCUCCGGCGGUUGUGGGUGGCCUCGCGGCCUAUCAGCUUGUUGGAGGGGUAGUGGCCUACCAAGGCGGCGACGCGUAGCCGGCCUGAGUGGGUGACCGGCGACAUUGGGACUGAGAUACGGCCCAGACUCCGACGGGAGGCAGCAGGGGGGAAGAUUGCACAAUGGGCGCAAGCCUGAUGCAGCAACGCCGCGGGCGGGAUGACGGCCUUCUGGUUGUAAACCGCUUUCAGCAGGGACGAAGCUUUUUGUGACGGUACCUACAGAGAAAGCAACGGCUAACUACGUG
rnacentral:rRNA from 1 species